GUUAGAGUGGUCGAUAUAGGCGUUAGAUUGUAAAUCUAAAUAUGGGGCAAUUUUUCCCCCUUUUAACA
rnacentral:tRNA from 1 species